UGUUUCGGCUAGGGGGUCAUCCCGACUUACCAACCCGAUGCAAACUACGAAUACCGAAGAAUGUUAUCACGGGAGACACACGGCGGGUGCUAACGUCCGUCGUGAAGAGGGAAACAACCCAGACCGCCAGCUAAGGUCCCAAAGUCAUGGUUAAGUGGGAAACGAUGUGGGAAGGCACAGACAGCCAGGAUGUUGGCUUAGAAGCAGCCAUCAUUUAAAGAAAGCGUAAUAGCUCACUGGUCGAGUCGGCCUGCGCGGAAGAUGUAACGGGGCUAAACCAUGCACCGAAGCUGCGGCAGCGACACUAUG
rnacentral:rRNA from 3 species